rnacentral:rRNA from 1 species
GACGAACGCUGGCGGCGUGCUUAACACGUGCAAGUCGAGCGGUAAGGCCCUUUCGGGGGUACGACGAGCGGCGAACGGGUGAGUAACACGUGGGUGACCUGCCCUCAGCUCUGGGAUAAGCCUGGGAAACCGGGUCUAAUACUGGAUAUGACUCCAUGACGCAUGUUGUGGGGUGGAAAGCCUUGUGCGGCUGAGGAUGGGCCCGCGGCCUAUCAGCUUGUUGGUGGGGUGAUGGCCUACCAAGGCGACGACGGGUAGCCGGCCUGAGAGGGCGACCGGCCACACUGGGACUGAGACACGGCCCAGACUCCUACGGGAGGCAGCAGUGGGGAAUCUUGCGCAAUGGGCGAAAGCCUGACGCAGCGACGCCGCGUGAGGGAUGACGGCCU